rnacentral:ncRNA from 1 species
AAGGCGAAUCCCGAAGAGCCUAUAAUAGAGUAGGGA